UACGGAGGAUCCGAGCGUUAUCCGGAUUUAUUGGGUUUAAAGGGUGCGCAGGCGGGAGAUUAAGUCGGCGGUGAAAUUUUGCAGCUCAACUGUAAAAGUGCCUUCGAAACUGGUUUCCUUGAGUGUGGAUGAAGUAGGCGGAAUUUGUGGUGUAGCGGUGAAAUGCUUAGAUAUCACGAGGAACUCCGAUUGCGCAGGCAGCUUACUAAACUACUACUGACGCUCAGGCACGAAGGCCUGGGGAUCAAACAGGAUUAGAUACCCUGGUAGU
rnacentral:rRNA from 1 species